AUUAACGCUAGCGGCAGGCAUAAUACAUGCAAGUUGAACGGCAGCACAGGUAGCAAUACCGGGUGGCGAGUGGCGCACGGGUGCGUAAUACGUAUGCAACCUACCCUAUACAGGCGAAUAACCUUUAGAAAUGAGGGCUAAUACGCCGUGGUAUUAUCUUGGGGCAUCUUGAGAUAAUUAAAGAUUUAUCGGUAUAGGAUGGGCAUGCGUCCCAUUAGUUAGUUGGUAGGGUAACGGCCUACCAAGGCUAUGAUGGGUAGGGG
rnacentral:rRNA from 1 species